CGGCUGCGGAGGCUGGCGCGGGCUGCUGCACCUUUAACGCUUUCUGGCGCUGACAGGCGGCGGCCCAGCUAAAGUUCACAGCGCCCGGGGAGGGCCCGCCUCCGCCUCCCCUCCCGCCCCCGCCUCCCCUCCCCCAGGCCGGCCCCGGCCCCCGGCCCCGGACAGGCCCGCCGCGCGGCCGCUUGAGCUGCGAGCUGAGGAGGCCCGUUGGCUGUUCCCGCAAAGAGUGGGGGGCGCAUUUUCUCUCCUGCCAGCCCGCUCCAUCCUGGUCGUUUAUUCCCGGCCUUCCCUCACCCCCCACCCCCACAGCCUGCUGGGAAACCAGACGACCCAGCGGCCACGGGACGAGUCACCCCAACUCAACCCCAGCAGGACGCUGGAGGGGCCUCCCUUGCCCACCUCUCUUCGCUAGCACUGGCCUCCCGCACCUGGGUCUGCAGUCCCUCCGCCAUCUCACAAGUGUGCAGCCGCUAGGCCUGGGGGAUCCGAAUGACUGGGGCUGGAUAGGAAUGCCUUCGUGUUUCCCAAGACCCCCGGGCCUGCUCCACAAAGUUUGAAGGGUGGGUACACCCCGACCCAGGCUUCUGCUUUGUGUGAUCAGGGAAGGGAUCCCACAUAUGGGAAUGGUUAAUGGAUUUUGGGACUCUCUAGGAGCCCCUGUUUUAAGAAGGAGGCCAAAUGUGCAGGCUCAGGCCAAGCAGCAGAGAUGAAUGAGGUGAUGACCACAGCCUUGAUCCGGCAGGAGCUCAGAGAUGCCCGGGAAGACGGGGGGCCCGAAUGGAAGCAGAAAAACACUUAUGGCCGCUGGGAAGUUGGGAGAGCCAGGCUGGGGCUCCGGCAGGCCCAGGGAAAGUUCCCUUUCUAGGCUCUUUAUUAAAAAAUUUAAAAGGAGGAGUUGAGGCGCCUUGAAUUUUCCUUCGCGAGUUUGGAGACCAGCCGAUUUUUCAUGAAGCAAGCAAGGGCCGCGGUCCCGGAUCCUGCAACAUAUACCUCAUUUUCUCCAGGCCUCUCCACUUGCCCGAGCUCUCAGCCACCAGGAGACAGACGGAAGGGGCUUCUGGGCUGUGUUGGGAGCGGGCAUUGUCCCCUACCCACUCCUGCACAGUUUCCCAAAGUCCAGCGACCUCCGACCCUCCUUGGGGAAAAAAAUACCAGUACCCAGACACCUCUGCACCCUGUUAUAUGACUGGGCUUGCUUCAGGAAUAUCUUACAAAGAAGAAGAAGGAGGAGGAACGGCUUGGAGUCAUGUUUACAUCUAGUUCUACUGAUCCGUUCACAUCUGGAGAGUUUAUUUAUAACUCCCUCUAUAACUCUCUGUUUGGAGGCACUGGUGGCUCUACUGACAGACUGAUGUCUAGGAAAUAUUGCUCUAUGUCUAAUGGUACCUAAAUGUGCUGUGGUUGUAUUUACAGAUUUACGUUUGAGGGAAAUAUAAUUAUUUCCAUUGUAUUUGUGCAUAUACAGUAGUUAUAGGAGCAGAUUUAUAUAUGGGAAAAUAUGCGACUCCCUUACAGCCAUCCGGCUUUAUGUACAUUUGAUAUCCUGACAGAUUUAUAUCUCUGAAGAGCUAUAUAGAUUAAAACGUAUAUUGUUAGAAUUAUGUAUCAGGAGAUAUAUACUUAUUGAUUGCGAAAUAGAGUAGUUAGAGCAUUCACUUAGAGCCAUAUAUGGCUAUGGAGAUAUUUCUAUAUUAUUAUCACUAUAUAUAGGCAUAUCUAUUUAUAACUGCAUAGUUAUAAAAAUAGACAUAA
rnacentral:lncRNA from 10 species